UACGUAGGGUGCAAGCGUUUGUCCGGAAUUAUUGGGCGUAAAGAGCUCGUAGGCGGUCUGUCGCGUCGAAUGUGAAAAACCCGGGGGCUCAACCCCCGGGCCUGCAUUCGAUACGGGCAGACUAGAGUUCGGUAGGGGAGUCUGGAAUUCCUGGUGUAGCGGUGAAAUGCGCAGAUAUCAGGAGGAACACCGGUGGCGAAGGCGGGACUCUGGGCCGAUACUGACGCUGAGGAGCGAAAGCGUGGGGGAGCGAACAGG
rnacentral:rRNA from 1 species